rnacentral:rRNA from 1 species
UACGGGGGGGGCAAGCGUUGUUCGGAAUUACUGGGCGUAAAGGGCUCGUAGGCGGCCAACUAAGUCAGACGUGAAAUCCCUCAGCUUAACUGGGGAACUGCGUGUGAUACUGGAUGGCUUGGAUUUGGGAGAGGGAUGCGGAAUUCCAGGUGUAGCGGUGAAAUGCGUAGAUAUCUGGAGGAACACCGGUGGCGAAGGCGGCAUCCUGGACCAAUAUUGACGCUGAGGAGCGAAAGCCAGGGGAGCAAACAGG